GGAGCUUGCUCCCGGAUGUUAGCGGCGGACGGGUGAGUAACACGUGGGUAACCUGCCUGUAAGACUGGGAUAACUCCGGGAAACCGGAGCUAAUACCGGAUAGUUCCUUGAACCGCAUGGUUCAAGGAUGAAAGACGGUUUCGGCUGUCACUUACAGAUGGACCCGCGGCGCAUUAGCUAGUUGGUGGGGUAAUGGCUCACCAAGGCGACGAUGCGUAGCCGACCUGAGAGGGUGAUCGGCCACACUGGGACUGAGACACGGCCCAGACUCCUACGGGAGGCAGCAGUAGGGAAUCUUCCGCAAUGGACGAAAGUCUGACGGAGCAACGCCGCGUGAGUGAUGAAGGUUUUCGGAUCGUAAAGCUCUGUUGUUAGGGAAGAACAAGUGCGAGAGUAACUGCUCGCACCUUGACGGUACCUAACCAGAAAGCCACGGCUAACUACGUGCCAGCAGCCGCGGUAAUACGUAGGUGGCAAGCGUUGUCCGGAAUUAUUGGGCGUAAAGGGCUCGCAGGCGGUUUCUUAAGUCUGAUGUGAAAGCCCCCGGCUCAACCGGGGAGGGUCAUUGGAAACUGGGAAACUUGAGUGCAGAAGAGGAGAGUGGAAUUCCACGUGUAGCGGUGAAAUGCGUAAAGAUGUGGAGGAACACCAGUGGCGAAGGCCACUCUCUGGGUCUGUUACUGACUCUGAGGAGCGAAAGC
rnacentral:rRNA from 1 species